UUAAAUUAAUAAGGGCGUACGUGUGGAUCACUUGGCACUAGAAGCUGAUGAAGGACGUGACAAACUACGAAAUGCCUCGGGGAGCUGUAAGUAAGCUUCGAUCCGGGGAUAUCCGAAUGGGGGAACCCACUUGUGGUCAUGCGCAAGUAUCAAUUAGUGAACACAUAGCUAAACUGAGAGCAACCCGCUGAACUGAAACAUCUUAGUAAGCGGAGGAAAAGAAAGAAAAAUCGAUUUCCCAAGUAGUGGCGAGCGAAAAGGAAAUAGCCCAAACCAGUCUUUGGACUGGGGUUGUAGGACCAUUAUAUAAGAGCUACAAAACUAUAUCAUAGUUGAAUUAGCUGGGAAGCUAAACCGUAGAAAGUGAUAGUCUUGUAAGCGAAAUGAUGUAGACUCUUUAUGGUAUCCUGAGUACGGCGGAGCACGUGAAAUUCCGUCGGAAUCCGCGGGGACCAUCCCGUAAGGCUAAAUACUCUCUAGUGACCGAUAGUGAACAAGUACCGUGAGGGAAAGUUGAAAAGAACCCCGGGAGGGGAGUGAAAUAGACAGUGAAACCGUAUGCUUACAAAAAGUUAGAGCCCGUUAAUGGGUGAUAGCGUGCCUUUUGCAGAAUGAACCGGCGAGUUAUUGUAUUAUGCAAGGUUAAGUUGAACAGAUGGAGCCGAAGCGAAAGCGAGUCUUAAUAGGGCGACUUAGUAUGAUGCAAUAGACCCGAAACCGAGUGAUCUAGCCUUGAGCAGGUUGAAGUAAUGGUAAGACAUUAUGGAGGACCGAACCGAUAUGCCCGGAAACGCGUACGGAUGACUUGUGGCUAGCGGAGAAAUUCCAAUCGAACUCGGAGAUAGCUGGUUCUCCCCGAAAUAGGUUUAGGCCUAGCCUUGAUUUGAGCUUCUUGGAGGUAGAGCACUGAAUGUGUAAUGGCCCCGUCUAGGGGUACUGCAUGCAAUCAAACUCCGAAUGCCAAGAAAGUAUAAUCAGGAGUCAGUGUAUGGGUGAUAACGUCCAUACGCGAAAGGAAAAGAAUCCAGAUCGCCAGCUAAGGUCCCCAAAUUUGUGUUAAGUGGGAAAGGAUGUAGAGUUGCACGAACAGCUAGGAGGUUGGCUUAGAAGCAGCCACCCUUUAAAGAGUGCGUAAUAGCUCACUAGUCGAGUGGCACUGCGCCGAAGAUGUACCGGGGCUAAACACAAUACCGAAGCUGCGAACUUAUACCUUUAGGUAUGAGUGGUAGGGGAGCGUUCCAACUGCUUUGAAGGUAGACCGUGAGGACUGCUGGAGCGCUUGGAAGUGAGAAUGCCGGUGUGAGUAACGAAAAAUGGGUGAGAAUCCCAUUCACCGAUUGACUAAGGUUUCCUGGGUAAAGUUCGUCUUCCCAGGGUAAGUCAGGACCUAAGGCGAGGCCGAAAGGCGUAGUCGACUGGACAACAGGUUUAUAUUCCUGUACCACCUAUACGACUGAUGGAGCGACGGAGAAGGCUAACGGUAUCCGGUUAUUGGAUUCCGGUCUAAGCACAAAGGCUUGUAUAUUGGCAAAUCCGUAGUACUAUUAUGCUGAAGUGUGAUGGGGAAAUGAUGUCUUCGGACUGAAUGAACUACCGCGACGCCAUGCUUCCAAGAAAAACUUCUAGGGUUAAUCGUAUAGGUGCCUGUACCGUAAACCGACACAGGUGGUCAAGGAGAGUAUCCUAAGGUGAGCGAGAGAACUAUGGUUAAGGAACUCGGCAAAAUGACCCCGUAACUUCGGGAGAAGGGGUGGUCUAGCGAUAGACCCGCAGUGAAUAGGCCCAGGCAACUGUUUACCAAAAACACAGGUCUCUGCUAACACGUAAGUGGAUGUAUAGGGGCUGACGCCUGCCCAGUGCUGGAAGGUUAAAGAGAUUAGUUAGUAUGACGUAAGUCGAUAAUACGAAGCUUUGAACUGAAGCCCCAGUGAACGGCGGCCGUAACUAUAACGGUCCUAAGGUAGCGAAAUUCCUUGUCAGGUAAGUUCUGACCCGCACGUUUAUUCUUAUCUCUUACGGGGUAUUCGGUUUCGGGCAACCAAAGCAGAUUGGCGACCAAUCCUUUCUCAUUCAUACCGUCCGUACUGGCGAUCUCGAAAGCGGAAGUCACUACGCUACCGUAUCUGGAAGUCCAUUCCAGCGAGUUCUCUCCGGUUUCUCCGUUCCGUUUCAUCCCUCUGGGAAACACCCAAAGGUUGCUGUGCAUAUCUGUUUUCCAGUCCAUAGAACGACCGGUUGCUACCAUACCAUUGCUUCCUGAAUAAACGACUCUCGUACACAUAAUUUCGAUUUUUAGUUAUAGGUUUAUUAUUGGUUAUUCAUCUGUGAGAUGCAACCUGUUCGGAAUUCUGUCACAGAACUAUCAGUCACGAUAGUGAGAAGUUAACAAGAAUAUGCCCUUAAAGUUCAGCGUUUGUAUUGAUAGCGCGAGAUUGCUGAGCCGGUUUUUCAAGAUAUACUUUCGGGAAAUUGUUUAUCAGGUGAAUUUUUAUACCUUUGCAAGAUACUGAUGAAAGGUUCAAAGUUUUAAAAUAUGGAGAUAAAAAAAGUAAUUUCGGAUAAAAAAGAGUUCUUGGAACUGUUGCUUUUGGCUGAUGAACAGGAGAGUAUGAUCGACCGCUAUCUGGAACGUGGCGAUAUGUUUGUCUUGUAUGAUAACGGAUUGAAAGCGUGCUGUG
rnacentral:rRNA from 1 species